rnacentral:rRNA from 1 species
AUUGAACGCUGGCGGCAGGCCUAACACAUGCAAGUCGAACGAGUGGCGGACGGGUGAGUAAUGUCUGGGAAACUCCCCGAUGGAGGGGGAUAACUACUGGAAACGGUAGCUAAUACCGCAUACCAUCGGAUGUGCCCAGAUGGGCUUAGCUAGUAGGUGGGGUAACGCCUCACCUAGGCGACGAGCCCUAGCUGGUCUGCGAGGAUGACCGGCCACACUGGAACUGAGACACGGUCCAGACUCCUACGGGAGGCAGCAGGGGGGAAUAUUGCACAAUGGGCGCAAGCCUGAUGCAGCCAUGCCGCGUGUAUGAAGAAGGCCUUAGGGUUGUAAAGUACUUUCAGCGAGGAGGCGUUACUCGCAGAAGAAGAACCGGCUAACUCCGUGCCAGCAGCGGCGGUAAUUC